rnacentral:rRNA from 1 species
AGCGAACGCUGGCGGCAGGCCUAACGCAUGCAAGUCGAACGGAUCCUUCGGGAUUAGUGGCGGACGGGUGAGUAACACGUGGGAACGUGCCCUUUGGUUCGGAACAACUCAGGGAAACUUGAGCUAAUACCGGAUGUGCCCUUCGGGGGAAAGAUUUAUCGCCAUUGGAGCGGCCCGCGUCUGAUUAGCUAGUUGGUGAGGUAACGGCCCACCAAGGCGACGAUCAGUAGCUGGUCUGAGAGGAUGAUCAGCCACACUGGGACUGAGACACGGCCCAGACUCCUACGGGAAGCAGCAGUGGGGAAUCUUGCGCAAUGGGCGAAAGCCUGACGCAGCCAUGCCGCGUGAAUGAUGAAGGUCUUAGGAUUGUAAAAUUCUUUCAGCGGGGACGAUAAUGACGGUACCCGCAGAAGAAGCUCCGGCUAACUUCGUG